rnacentral:lncRNA from 1 species
UGGCAGCCUCAGCCUUGUAUGUGUUCCCAGGGCAGGAAGUGACGUCGCCAGCUUUGGAAGAUGAGUACACCGGAAUUCGGUUCUGGACGUUUCCUUCUUGCGAUGCUUGGGAUUGAACCCAGCGCCUUGAGCAUGCUGACCAAGGGCUUUACUGCUGAAAAGACAUCUCGGGCGAUUCCAGAGGCUUCCUCCUCCUCUCUUCCCCAUCCUCUUCCUCCUCAGUACUGAGGAUCACACCCAGCGUUGUGACGUUCCUAGGGAAGCAUGCUGCCACCAAAUUAUGUUUCUGUCCCUGGAAGGCUCUUCUUUCUUAAGAUUUAUUCUAAUUAUCUUUAAUUACAUGCAUGUGUAUGUGUGUGAAUAUGUGCAAGCGAAUGCGGGUGUCUGUGGAGGUCAGAGACAUAAGAACCCCUGAUGACUAGAGUUACAGGAGGCUGUGAG